rnacentral:rRNA from 1 species
AGUGGCGGACGGGUGAGUAACACGUGGGUAACCUGCCUCACAGCUGGGGAUAACAUCGAGAAAUCGAUGCUAAUACCGAAUGUGCUGAACAUCAUAAGAUGUUCAAGUGAAAGACGGUUUCGGCUGUCACUGUGAGAUGGACCCGCGCUGGAUUAGCUAGUUGGUAAGGUAAUGGCUUACCAAGGCGACGAUCCAUAGCCGACCUGAGAGGGUGAUCGGCCACAUUGGGACUGAGACACGGCCCAAACUCC